AUGGACUACAAUUUAACCUUUGCAAUGGUUCAUGGGCAAGGAUAUGAUGGAGCUAAUAACAUGAGAGGUAUUGCUAAUGGCCUGAAAGAACUGAUUAUGGAUGAGUCCCCUUCUGCCUACUAUGUUCAUUGUUUUGCCCAUCAACUACAGUUAACUCUUGUUGCUGUUGCUAAGGAGAGUGGUGAUUGUACUUGGUUCUUUCAGCAGCUUGCGCACUUGUUAAAUGCUCUUGGCAUGUCUUGUAAAAAGAUGAGAAUGCUUCGGAUAGCUCAGGCUGAAGAACUCAUUGAUGCACUGGAAUUGGAAGAAGUAGAAAUAGGGAGUGGGCUGAAUCAGAAUAUGGGUUUGGGAAGGCCAUGUGAUACACGUUGGGGCUCUCACUUCAAAACUGUGAACCAUGUCAUCUCUAUGUAUGGUGCACUACGACGAGUCCUUCACAAGAUUGGAGACGAGUACCAUGGUGCGGAGGCAGAAGCGGCUCUAUCCAUAGAGACAAUAUUGCGAUCAUUUGAGUUUGUUUUCAUGGCACACUUGAUGCAAGAAAUAUUUGGAUACACACAUGAGUUGUGUAGAGCUUUGCAAAAGCAAGGCGAAGAUAUUGUCAUGCUAUUAAGCUUGUUCGUGACACAAAGUAUUACUUGGAGGCUUUGA
rnacentral:rRNA from 1 species